rnacentral:lncRNA from 1 species
AGAAUUUCAUACCUCUUCCGCAAAAAUACCGAUGCUGGAAAAUACUCAUUCAGGAAGGCUUUUUUCCAUUUCUUCCCUAGAUGUGAUGCUACCGGCAGGUAAAGAAUAAAACCAUUCUUCAGCUUCUUCCGCUAAGGUAAACGGGAACAUUCUCAACUUCUUGGCUUCUUCAGUGUGACCAUCAAUUUUCAGAGUGUUGCUCAUGGGCAAAAACCUCUACAAAUGCUUGUUUGCAUCUUCAUUCACUUUUCCAGUUAAAUUCUUCCUUU